ensembl:lncRNA
GCAUCUAAUAAUAGCGGGCAGUUCAAUAAUAAUAGCAUGCAUCCCUGGCGUGUCAGGGGGGAGAGGUGAGAGGAGAGCACAGCUGAGGAAUGAAACAUGACCCUCCCUUGCUUUUUCCUCUCUCUCUCUCUCUCUUAACACACCCAUCCCCACCGCAUCUCCUUUAAAAACCCCAGGACCAGGACGUCGACAGGUCUGCGGAUCUCGGAGGCUGCGUUUGAUUGGUUUAGUUGUGCAGGAGCUCCUGUCUAUAACGGCAGCGGUGUAGGUUUCUCUUGCAUGCUGGACAUAUGGACUGUGGGAUAAAUAGAAGCAUGGUGUUUCAUGAACGUCUGCUUUGGGCCUCCAUAGAAAGCCCUUUGGAGAUGAAGUGUGUGAAGUGACAGACAAACACAGUGUCUCCCAGCCGCGCUGGUCGACUGAGCGGGAAGUCGAAAGGAGCCGCGGGCCAGCUGAGGUUGAUCGGGAAGGAACUCUUCGUUUUCACGCCACGCGCGCUUCGGCAAACUCACACGUGCCAGGUGAGCACGCGGGAGCUGGCUCGCGUACCAAUGUUGGCACACGCGCGCCGCCUGACACUUUACCAGACCUUGACGAAGGGCGUCAGGUGGAGCCACGAUGGGCAAGUCCUAAGUUCAUAAUGCCCUUAGCCCCGCUCGGUAUCUCGGCCCUGGCACCCCACGUCUGUCGGACAAGCAGAAGUUUGGAAGGAGAUCAAACUGGUGCAAAAAGGUCCCUCAAUGACAACAGGGACCCCAGUUGUGACCGCACACAGGCCUGCGCUCACAGGCCGACCUCGGAGGGGAUCGCUGAUAUAAAAUCUUCGAAUGGUGAUGAGUUGAGUCAUGAAAAGGGAACUAAAAUAAAGUAUACUGAGAAGUCUUCAAAAAAGGGACAAGUGGACUUGAUCCCGAGAAGUAAAACAACAACUGAGGAGAUCCACGAGCUCAGCGGAAGACUCUCAGACCUGGCUGAUGCCCCAGCAGAUCAGUUCUUUGUCUCACAGAAGAAGCGCGUUGCAUUCAUCACUUUAGAUUUGAAUGACCCAUUUGUCUCCAGGGCUGCAAAACCCAUCGCCAAAGGCACACAGUCCGACUUGAAUCAGACGAAAGCUGAGAAGAUGCCACGCAAAACACACAAAACUACCUCGGAGAGCAAAGCACGCUCUAAAAAGGACAAAACAGCUGGUCAUUAUCACGGAACACAAGCUUGCAAGAAACAGGAGGCUUUAUCUCAUCAUGUUUCCGCCCAGCAGGUCUGUAAACAGCAAGAAACUCAUCCUCUCACCGGGGAAAACCACACUGGCGAGAAUAAUCAAGUCGGGCUGCUGGAUAAGGAGGCCAAAUUGGUGAUUGACGCUGGUGCGACAACUGAGAAGGCUCCGAGCAAACCACAUGGCAAGAAGAAGAAGAAAAACACCGGGCUGAAUGGUGUCGGGGAGCCACUGGUGGAGGUGGAGAACGGAGCGAAACCAAAGACAGCGAAAGGGAGGAUUGAAAUGUUUGAGGCCAAGCUGGGUGCGAAAGCUGUGAAAGCUCCAAAGGACGGCGAUCACUCAGAGGAGAAAAUGUCACAGCAACCAGAAGCCAAAGCUAGAGCUUCCCAGGGAGAAAAACCUCAACAUCACGCAGAUCACAAAGACCACCAGCCGAAGAAAUUCACCAGUCCGCCGAACGACGAUAUUAUCAAAAGACGACGGCUGUCAGAAGACAAGUUUGGGAAAUUAUCCAAGCCGGACGUUUCUACACAGACAAAGGGAGAGGAGCCCAAGGUGAACACAGGGGCAACUCGCAGGAAGGCGUUUGGUGACGUGGUCAAACCGAAAAUCCCCCCAAAGGAAGACCCCAAGGUGGUGCAGCCCAUUCAGACGGCUCCGGUGAGCGGGGACCCCCGGAGCCUGUGCCUGUGGUGUCAGCUUACGGCCGCCUCCUACCAAUGCACCGUCACCUGGAGCAGGGGGGGCGCUGUCCUGUCUGAGAGCAAGAGAAGUGCAGGGGAUGACAGCAGAGUGUCGCUGACCAUCUCCAAUGCUUCUCACAAAGACUUGGGCAAGUACCAGUGUCAGCUCACCAGUUCACACGGAUCGGUGACCCUGGACUACCUGCUCACAUACGAAGUUCUCUGUGAGAUUGUUGUUCCUCCCUCUCCGAACACAAUCGUAUCAGCCCCCCGUAGAAGACGGGAGCGAAGAAGAAGACGUUCACUGUUCCAAGUUGAUUUUUAG